GUGGGGAAUUUUGGACAAUGGGCGCAAGCCUGAUCCAGCAAUGCCGCGUGCAGGAAGAAGGCCUUCGGGUUGUAAACUGCUUUUGUACGGAACGAAACGGUCCUGGUUAAUACCCGGGGCUAAUGACGGUACCGUAAGAAUAAGCACCGGCUAACUACGUGCCAGCAGCCGCGGUAAUACGUAGGGUGCAAGCGUUAAUCGGAAUUACUGGGCGUAAAGCGUGCGCAGGCGGUGCUGUAAGACAGGCGUGAAAUCCCCGGGCUUAACCUGGGAAUUGCGCUUGUGACUGCAGUGCUGGAGUGCGGCAGAGGGGGAUGGAAUUCCGCGUGUAGCAGUGAAAUGCGUAGAUAUGCGGAGGAACACCGAUGGCGAAGGCAAUCCCCUGGGCCUGCACUGACGCUCAUGCACGAAAGCGUGGGGAGCAAACAGGAUUAGAAACCCCUGUAGUCC
rnacentral:rRNA from 1 species